rnacentral:tRNA from 2 species
CGGGGCGUGGCCCAGUGGCUAGGGCACCUGCUUUGGGAGCAGGGGAUCGCAGGUUCGAGUCCUGUCGCCCCGA